AUGACAUAUGAACAGUCUGCUGCUAGUGUUUAUUUAUUAUUAUUUAUUAGCACACACUGUCUGAUUCACUGCAUGUAUUGUGCUGUGUUGAUUCAGAUAAGCACAUCCUCUAGGCUUGCACCGCUGCUGUGCUCACUGGUUGGGUCCUCACGUAUGAUAAUGGAGACUGUUCUGGGGCUGUCACGAGGCAGUAAGACAAAAUCAUUCAAAUAUUCUUUAAUUAAUAGCUAAAGAAACCUCUGCAAUGUAGUCCACAGGCUGCACACACUCAUUCAAUACACUCCCUCACACACACACACACACACACACACACACACACACGUUUGUUUUUGUGAAAAGCGGGGACAUUCCAUAGGCAUAGUGGUUUUUAUACUGUACAAACUGUAUAUUCUGUCGCCUAACUCUAAUCUGAACUGAUGUAUUUUAACAACGUGAUCUAAUGGAUAUUAGUAUAUAUUUCAUAUUGUAAACUUUGUCAUUACAUUUUUUUAUGUGGUUUAGGUUUGGGGAUAGACUUUAGUUUCUAUGUUGUUAAGACAUUAAAGGUCACACACACACACACACACACACACACACACACACACACACACACACACACACACACACACACACACAACACACACACACACACACAUACACACACACAAGUUUGGGCAAUGAUACAUCAAAAUGUAUUUUGAAAUACAAUACCAAAUGCCUUAAUUUUAAGUGUAUCAUAAUAAAUUACAAAAUACAGCAGCCACAGCAUGCAUUAAAAUAAACUACUGUAUCUUUGUAUUUUAAAAAUACUAAAAACAAAUUUACAAGGGAGCAUGAAAUUUCUUCACAAACCUUCAAUCUAUUGGCAUAUUUGAUCAUUCCAUUCACCAUUAAAAUGACAGUAAAAUCAUGUAAAUAAUGUUUGAUAGCAACAGCUUUUCUCUGCCCAAGUCAUGCAAUAAAUCUGACACAUGCAACCAGUUAACAGAUCAAAUAUUCACAUAUCCCUGUGAUCUCCCAGAUGAAGGUUAGUUUUAAAGUAACCAACAGUUUAAUGUUUAACAGUUUGUGAAUGACUCAUAAUUGUAUCCUAUUAGUUACUUGGUGUUUGGUACGAGGGCCUACUUUGCAUCAGUCAACACUGAUUUUUA
rnacentral:lncRNA from 1 species